rnacentral:rRNA from 1 species
AGUGAACGCUGGCGGUAGGCCUAACACAUGCAAGUCGAACGGCAGCACAGAGGAGCUUGCUCCUUGGGUGGCGAGUGGCGGACGGGUGAGGAAUACAUCGGAAUCUACUCUGUCGUGGGGGAUAACGUAGGGAAACUUACGCUAAUACCGCAUACGACCUACGGGUGAAAGCAGGGGAUCUUCGGACCUUGCGCGAUUGAAUGAGCCGAUGUCGGAUUAGCGAGUUGGCGGGGUAAAGGCCCACCAAGGCGACGAUCCGUAGCUGGUCUGAGAGGAAGAUCAGCCACAAUGGAACUGAGACACGGUCCAGACUCCUACGGGAGGCAGCAGUGGGGAAUAUUGGACAAUGGGCGCAAGCCUGAUCCAGCCAUACCGCUUGGGUGAAGAAGGCCUUCGGGUUGUAAAGCCCUUUUGUUGGGAAAGAAAUCCAUCUGGUUAAUACCCGGGUGGGAUGACGGUACCCAAAGAAUAAGCACCGGCUAACUUCGUGCCAGCCGCCGCCGUAA